GGGUUGUGAGGUUAAGCGACUAAGCGUACACGGUGGAUGCCCUGGCAGUCAGAGGCGAUGAAGGACGUGCUAAUCUGCGAUAAGCGUCGGUAAGGUGAUAUGAACCGUUAUAACCGGCGAUUUCCGAAUGGGGAAACCCAGUGUGAUUCGUCACACUAUCAUUACGUGAAUACAUAGCGUAAUGAAGCGAACCGGGGGAACUGAAACAUCUAAGUACCCCGAGGAAAAGAAAUCAACCGAGAUUCCCCCAGUAGCGGCGAGCGAACGGGGAGGAGCCCAGAGCCUGAAUCAGCAUGUGUGUUAGUGGAAGCGUCUGGAAAGUCGCGCGAUACAGGGUGACAGCCCCGUACACAAAAGCGCAUGUGCUGUGAGCUCGAUGAGUAGGGCGGGACACGUGGUAUCCUGUCUGAAUAUGGGGGGACCAUCCUCCAAGGCUAAAUACUCCUGACUGACCGAUAGUGAACCAGUACCGUGAGGGAAAGGCG
rnacentral:rRNA from 1 species